rnacentral:rRNA from 1 species
UACGGGGGGCGCAAGCGUUGUUCGGAUUUACUGGGCGUAAAGGGCGCGUAGGCGGCCACCGCAAGUCGACUGUGAAAUCUCCGGGCUUAACCCGGAAAGGUCAGCCGAUACUGCGGGGCUAGAGUGCAGAAGGGGCAACUGGAAUUCUCGGUGUAGCGGUGAAAUGCGUAGAUAUCGAGAGGAACACCUGCGGCGAAGGCGGGUUGCUGGGCUGACACUGACGCUGAGGCGCGAAAGCGUGGGGAUCAAACAGG